GUUGGUUUUACAAGAUUUAUAGAUGACACAAUGAAAUAAAAUAGUGUCAGACAAGAGCUCCUGUUCUCCAGAAGCUUCGCAGGGCUAUUCCAGCGUGACAAUGAUCCAAAGUGUGGUCUGCAGAUAAAAUCAGACGUUGGUUUCUAGAGAAGAAAAAGUGAAACUCUGACCUGGACUAGUGUGUCACCUGCCUCGACUGCAACAGAACACCUCUCCAAAGAAAUUUAUGCAACGCUGGUCUCUCGUGUCAAGUAGGAUUGACUCUGUUGUGUAAAAGAAAGCUGGGCAUCUGAAGUAAGCAAAAGUAAUCAGAGUCUUUCAGCAAUGAAAGAUGAAAUGGUUUCUACUGUGAGGCCUGCAUUUUUAAUAUAACCUAGUAAAUCUUAACUGCUUAGUUCUGGAUAUCAUCAAAUAACAUAUUGUUGAUCUAAGCAGGUGUGCCGUUGCUACAAAUAUAAAUAGGAUCUUUUGCAAUGUAAGUGAUUUUUGCUAAGGGGUGGAUUCACUUCUGAAUACUGUAUGGUGCUAUCUAGCUAGCAAGUUAAAGACAAUGUUCUUAAUACAAGCACAGUUAACAGUGACUUAGGAAUUGAGCACUGGGGCUAACGAUCUUUGGCUUUUGAGUUUAGGCAGUGGUUGGUUUGCCGAACUUAUGAUUGUUGUUUUUUUUAACUGGUUUGAUCAGGAGCAGACAGGGGAGGGGGGAUUUUAAAGGAUGACUGAGGGGGUGUUUAUGCAUAAUCGUAGUGCAUUCAAUUUCUUGUCUUUAAAGAAAAAAAAAGUGUCCAACGUGUUAUAUGUCUACAUAGAUUAAGCCUCUGCUUGAAAGGUGUCUCCAAUGGUCAAUGGGCAGCUGGAGAAAAAUUAAAAAGAUGCCCAUAUCCAGGAUCUUAUUCCCAAUAAGAGCCUCUAAAGUAUGUAAAGAAGGGCAGGGAGGACAUUGGUGGAUCUGCAACAUAUUGGUCCUAAAUAGAAUGUUAUAUCUUUAAAGUGAAACUAUUAUGCUUUUCCAUCCAGUUAUCAUUCUUUCUGUUAAAAUUUGAUAUUUAUGCUGUGAAGUUGGUGAAUCCAUUGCUUUUCAGACAGCUGAGUGGUCGCACUGAGGCCAGGUAGCUGGGGUGGCUAGAGCUCAUUAUCUACUAAUUGGAAGGUUGAUGGUUCGAUCCCUGGCUCCUCCAGUCUGCAUGCCAAAUAUCCUUGGGUAAGAUACUAACCCCAAGUAUCUGGAUGCAUCUAUAGGAGUAUAAAUGGGUGUGAAUGUUAAAUGUAAGGAGCACUUAUGUAGAAAAAGCACAGAAAAGAGCACUUGGGUUAAUGAUACAAGUUGUAUAAAGUGCUUUGAGUGCUCAGAUAGAGUAGAAAAGGCCUAUAUGAGAAUCGGUCCAUUUUUGCAUAAAUGAUUAUGUUGAAGAGUCUACAAAUCAAAAUAUGAAGCUACCAAUAAUAAUAAGCUCUCUUUAAAACCUUCAUAUGUAUAUCUAUGUGGAUCUAUUUCUUCUGUUAAAAGUAUUCUCAAUAAAAGUGGUCUCUCAAACACAGGAAGAUAGACGCUUUAAAACCUAGAGAAAUGAAACCACCAAAAACAAUAAGGUAUAAAUAUAGUGCUGGGGUUAAGAAAAACAUAUUUUUGUAAUGUCACGCACAACUGAUUGCACUACAUUUUCACUAGCAACAUCCUGUUGUUAUCAGGGGGCAAAACAUUUACAUUACUGAAAGUGAGAGAGCUUAGAAGCCCAGCAGUGCAUGUCUCUUAUGGUAGGUUAUGUGAAUGGUGCUGGGAUGGCACUCCUCUUACAUGCUUCAGCACUCUGGCGCACAUAAACAAUGGGGCCGGCUGAAAUUGCUGCGAUCAGAGCCUGAAAGCUGUGAGUGGCAGGAAGCAGCGAGCAGCAGCAGACGCCUCUGACAGCCCUCCAGCUCCAGAGAUGCUGAGAGAGAAAUGGCAGCAUCAGCAUCAGUAGCAGCAGCAGCAGCAUACAGAAACACUGUAUCCAUUCAUCCACAGAGCUGAAAAGCAGCUUCAAACAGACUGUGAAAUUCAUCUCAAGUCCACUGCCUGGAAAGAGAAAGAAAAGAAGGAUGAGGGAGAGCAACUGGCCUCAGCUGGAGUUAUUGAUGUUCAAUUGACUCUGGAACAUCUGCAGGCCCAUUUUGUCUUGUUAAUUAUACAGCACUAAUUUAACUCACACGUUGUUGCUACAGAUAAGAGAGGAGAUGCUUGGUGAACCAUGUGCAACACUGUGCCCUGACUUCUGCUUUACCACAUGCUCAACCUGCCUGAUGAUGACGCUCCCAGCUUUAAACCCUCCAUAUUAUCUACCUACUGAGGGAGAAACGCAGGAUAAAUAUGCUGUCUGCAAUGAGUAUCACCGUGAAGGGAUCUCCUCACUCAGGACAAAGCUGCAGAAAGGCCACUGCAAUCUAAAACCUCUUCCUGCUUCACCCGGCAUCACCGGCAGGUAGUUGGUGCUGUCUCAGAGAGUCAUUUUACAAGCGCUGCUCAAUACACCUCUCUUUGCAUUCGUCUUGAAGAGGCCUUUCCAUUUUUCAAACUGGCAUCCACAUAAAGGCAACUUUCACCCAGCCCUCUGCAAAAGGCCAAAAACCAUACGGGUCACGGUUUAUACUUUAACUGUAUUGCAUGUUGCAACAUAAGCAUGUUGUGCAAAAGAAAGAGGAGCGUUGUGGCGAAAUAGGUCAGGGGUUUCUUUACUUUGUAACACUACACUUGAUGUAAAGGGGGUUGCCGCACAUCUAUGAGUCUCUGUGUGUACGUGUGUGGGGUUGUGCUUGUUUUCCUCUCCAUGUGACCCAUUUGCUGAUCGACCACAGUGUUCCCCACUCUGGUGGUGUUUCCAUGCCAACGCCGCCAGUGGCAAGACAAAAGAUGAGGACUCACUUGGUCUUGAUCAAAGGGAGCACUGUUUCAGUCUGUUGCUCGUGCUGUCUAGUAUGUUCUGAAACUGACUGCAUACCUAGAGAUGUAAAAAAAGGAUAUAUCACAGAACAGUGAUUUCCAUUCUUUUUCAUCAGCUUCCCACCUAGAGCGCUGUCAGCUGAUCUACAGCACCACUACUUCAGCACCUCCACUAAUGCUCCACAUUUAUUAUAAUUGAAUGUUAUUUUUACCCCAUUAUUUUGAAUUUUUUUCAAUACUUUUUUUUUAAAUGACAUGCACCACUUGGCAAUUCAGUUCAGCCACACAUUAAAUGCUAAAAGCUAGAUGUUUCGGCUAUCUACUGUGCAGUAUUUUAGUGUUUGUCCAUUGUGCAAACACUGAAAAGUUCAAAACAUUCAACAAAACACAUUCAGCUAUUUAUUCUUACUUUUAGCUUGCAUAAAAUGCUUGUAUGUAUCAGUGUAGUUCAACAAUGUUUCGUGUUUUUCAACUAUUUCUUAAUUAUCACUCUGUUUAGAAACCCAUCACAGUUAUGAGCUGUCAAGUUCACAUUUAUUCAAAAUAAAUGGAAAAAACACA